UAUAUACACUGAAAAAAAUUAAUCUGAGUGGAUGUAAAUGUUAAGUAAUUAAAAUGCGUGAUAUCAACAAUAAAAUGUUAAGUUUGUGUCUUUACUUUAAUAUAUCUAGUUUUAAAUUAAUCUGCAUUUGUUCAAAAAACAAGAAAAUGUGUAUUUUAUUCCUUUACUAAAUUAAUCUAAGUAAUCCCAGCCAAGCUUUUUAGGUACACACGCACAACAAACAAUACCUUGUUUUAUUUACUCACUUGGUAAAAAAAAAAAAAACUCCCCUUCCUGUUUCGUUGGUCUGGAAACCCCUUGCAUUCCUAACGAAGACGAACACGCGGACUGAAUUUAAGGUGAUUCUCCUGACAAUAGGCUACACUGGAUAAAGGUUUGUGAUGACGAUGAUGCUGCAGCCAUCCAAGAGGCCAUCACUUCAUUUGUGCUCAACAUCUUUAUGGUCAGCAAAGCCAGGGAUGGAGGUCUCGAGAAGAAAGUUGGAAUAGCCAUUGAGGGAGCGGAGGUCCUUUUUUGCAUUCCCAGUGUAGCACAUGCUUGCUCCUACCUUAUGGGCCUUAUUUAUGCUUUGGAACUAAGCUACCCAGAGAAACUUAAAUACACCUUUGAGGUAUUUCAGAAGAUAUUCCUGGAGCUGGAGGAUGUUAACAAAAACAUGUCCUCCAAAAUCCACGAUCACAAGAUCAGCUUACUGGCCUAAAAGCGAUACAGACAUUGUUGAAUGUAGAGGGUUUGAGUCCCUCUGGUAAAGUUUUACUGUUCAAUUUCUCAGGUCUUUUUCAGUGCACUUUCUCAAGUCACACUAAUCCUAUUUCAUAUAGGGACCAUGUUUGUGAGUGUUAAUGUUAAAGGUGCAGUUGAAGGAAAGAUGACAGUUAAGAAGUCAGAAACUAUAUUGCACAAUGUGAGUUUUUUUCAAUAGAAACCCAAAGAAACUGAAAUGUAGGUUUCUUAGAAGAUCUCCAUUGUCACACGGGGAUCAUACAUAUGAUCAUACAUGUGCAAGCGUGUUGUUUUAAAGUCUUAAGAGUAUGUUACUGUACAGGACUGAAAAACGCAAUUUUAUAGAAAAUAUUCUGUAAAUGUGUCUGAAUGGUUUCUUAUGAAGACAAUAAAGCCUGUCAACUUUCACUUAA